rnacentral:tRNA from 1 species
UCCUGGUUAGCUCAUUUAGUAGAGCACUCCACUGGAAAUGGAGAGGUUCUGAUUCGAUACCAGAACCAGUGG